rnacentral:tRNA from 1 species
GCCAGGCUGGCGGAACGGUAGACGCGCUGGAUUCAAAAUCCGGUGCCCGCAAGGGCGUGAGGGUUCGAUUCCCUCGCCUGGUACCA